GAUGAAGAACGUAGCGAACGUGCGAAACGUAAUGUGAAUUGCAGAAUUCAGUGAAUCAUCGAAUCUUUGAACGCAUCUUGCGCUCCUUGGUAUUCCGAGGAGCAUGCCUGUUUGAGUGUCGUGAAUACUCUCAACUUCAACCCUUUUUUCGGAAAGGGAGGAAGGUUGGACUUGGGUGUUUGUUGAAGUGCGAGCUUCGACUCAUCCUAAAUGCAUUAGCGAUCUGCCUCGAUCACACACAAUGUGAUAAUCAAAACUAAAGCAUUGUUUAAUGAUCAAGUCGAGACUGCUUCUAACUGUCGCAAGACAAUAACGUGCAUACAUUUGUGCAUGUCAUUUGACCUCAAAUCAGGUAGGACUACCCGCUGAACUUAAGCAUAUCAAUAAGCGGAGGA
rnacentral:misc_RNA from 1 species